rnacentral:rRNA from 1 species
UGGGGAAUAUUGGACAAUGGGGGCAACCCUGAUCCAGCCAUGCCGCGUGAGUGAAGAAGGCCCUAGGGUUGUAAAGCUCUUUCGGCGGGGAAGAUGAUGACGGUACCCGCAGAAGAAGCCCCGGCUAACUUCGUGCCAGCAGCCGCGGUAAUACGAAGGGGGUUAGCGUUGUUCGGAAUUACUGGGCGUAAAGGGCGCGUAGGCGGUCCAUUGAGUCAGAUGUGAAAGCCCCGGGCUUAACCUGGGAAUUGCAUUUGAUACCAAUGGACUAGAGUGUGGGAGAGGAGAGUGGAAUUCCCAGUGUAGAGGUGAAAUUCGUAGAUAUUGGGAAGAACACCAGUGGCGGAGGCGGCUCUCUGGACCACAACUGACGCUGAGGCGCGAAAGCGUGGGGAGCAACAGGAUUAGAUACCCUGGUAGUCCACGCCGUAAACGAUGAGUGCUAGACGGUUGGGGGCCGUAGCCCUUCAGUGUCGCAGCUAACGCAUU